AAAGUGUUGCAGCAGCUUAUAUAAAUAUAUUAACUAGUGAUAAUAACUUUAAUUUUUUUUAUUUUUUUUUAAGGUAUGAGGUUUAGGCAAUUAUUUAUUUACCUAGCAUAGUUUUUCACUCUGAUAAAUACUACUGUGCCAGCUAUCGCGGUUAUACAGGAAGAGUAAUUAUUAUUUUUAAAUGCUUUAUAAUACCGUUCUAUAUGUUUUUUUGUUUAAUAAUUAGCUUUACUUAGAAUAUAUUUUUUUUAAAAAAAAAAUUUGAAAAAUGGAUUAGAUACCCAUGUAUUUUUUUUUUUUUUUUUUAUUAGUAAAUUUAAAAUAAAUUUGCUAGACGGUGUCUUAUUAAUUACAGGGAAAUUUGUUUAUUUAAUCGAUAAUCCACGUUUUUUUUUAACCUUAUCUGAUCAGAUGUAUAUGUCCGUCAUGCAAACCUAUUAUUUUAUGUAUGUGCUAAUAAUAUUAAAUAUUUUUUGUCAGGUCCACAUGCACUUAUGGUAAGGAUAAAUGAGUUUUUAUAUAUGUAUUUUUUAUCAGUAAGAACGAAGAUCUGCAUGCAAACCUGUUAGUAAUUAAUUAAAUUUUUUAGUUUUUUAAUGAAAAAAAUUAAUAUAGAGUACUCACCGCCCGCUAUUUGGUAUAUGUACUAAGAAGGCGUAACAAGGUAGUCUAUCUAGAAGGAUAGAC
rnacentral:rRNA from 1 species